rnacentral:rRNA from 1 species
UACGGGGGGGGCAAGCGUUGUUCGGAAUUACUGGGCGUAAAGGGCUCGUAGGUGGCCAACUAAGUCAGACGUGAAAUCCCUCGGCUUAACCGGGGAACUGCGUCUGAUACUGGAUGGCUGGAGUAUGGGAGAGGGAUGCGGAAUUCCAGGUGUAGCGGUGAAAUGCGUAGAUAUCUGGAGGAACACCGGUGGCGAAGGCGGCAUCCUGGACCAUUACUGACGCUGAGGCACGAAAGCGUGGGGAGCAAACAGG